rnacentral:rRNA from 1 species
AACGAACGCUGGCGGCAUGCCUAACACAUGCAAGUCGAGGGGUAGAAAUAUCCCUGGCGCACGGGUGCGUAACGCGUAGGCAAUCUGCCCUUCACACCGACAUAACAGUUCUAACGGAUUGAUAAUAUCGGAUGUUGUUAUUAUCUUGCAUAAGGUGAUAAUGAAAGUUUCGACGGUGAAGGAUGAGCCUGCGUCUGAUUAGGUAGUUGGCGGGGUAAACGGCCCACCAAGCCGACGAUCAGUAGCUGGUCUGAGAGGAUGAUCAGCCACAUUGGGACUGAGACACGGCCCAGACUCCUACGGGAGGCAGCAGUGAGGAAUAUUGCGCAAUGGACGAAGUCUGACGCAGC